ensembl:lncRNA
AGACUAUAAAUAAUAACCGUUAUUGCCCAAAAAAAUCAUCAAUUCGUAAAUUCAUGCAACCAUUUUUUGGCAUCUUCCAACAAUUCAUAUAGGUGAAUUAUUUAAACAAUCUUUAAAAAUGAGAAUACACAAUGACGUUACACUGACUGUCCUACUUGUAUUUGUUAUCUAAAACUUAUUUCAAAAACUGCAUUUUCUGACAAGGACACGCAUUUGAUCAAGCGCAUAAUAUUUCAUGAUCUGAAUGCUUUACGCUGUCAUGCACGAUGUAGGUUUCUAAAAGUUAAAAUCUGGGCUCUGUCUUAUUGCUUUGCAUGUUCUGGGAUUAAAGAGGUCUGAUGAGAAUAAGCAAUAGAUGCAACCGUAACUGUCAUACUCAUAAAAGAAAAGCGUGCUAAAAAUAGUCUGUCGGACCUCCGUACCGCCCAAAGCUGAUGAAGAAAAUAACACAAAGAGAACGUCCUCUUACCUCAUUAUUACACCGAAAGGACACUAAACCAAGCAGCUACAUGUCAAGCGUGUGAGUCUGUGCGACCUCAAAAAGAUAAACUACUGUAAAAUGCUACAAGAGAAAUAAGCUACAGGCUCCGCCGUUAAAACCCCGCAGGAACCUUUCAUGAUCACACUAUAAUGCCAAGCUUUAACUCUUAAUAAAGACCUGCAGAAAUAAGAGAAGAAUGCAAACCACCACCAGACUCACUCACAAUUUCACUGGUUUCUCAUAAAGCAACUAUUAAAAGUACGUAAAAGGUUUCAGGCUGUGACAUUCUGUCUCUGCGUCCCUCCAAAGGCAGGAUGCGAUCGGUGCCAGGCACAAACUCAAUCCUCACUUCCAUAUAAAAACAUACUGUACCUACUGUACAUGAACCAUUCAGUGCUAACAGAAACCCCUCGUGCAACAAGUCAACAUCUACUUCCUUCACCUUGUGAAAAAGAAGCACACUUAAGCAUACUUUGAAAAAGAGUAUUAAGGAAAUAAUACACUUUGAAAGAAUAUAAUUGAGUGUCAGUGUUUUCAGACACGUAAUUGCAUGGUGUAACAUGGUUUAAAUUUAUAUUAAAUGCAAUAAGCUAUACUUAAGAAUGCUUUUUUUGUCCCACUUAAGUAUGAAUUUAAUACAUCGUUACAUGCAAUUUCAUAAUUCUUUUCCAUUUUAAGUGUAAAUGUUCCAUAAAAUACUUGUUUAGG